AGGGAAAUAGCUCAGUGGUAGAGCACAUGCUUAGCAUGCAUGAGGUCCUGGGUUCAAUCCCCAGUACCUCUA
rnacentral:tRNA from 1 species